CCUGGCUCAGGAUGAACGCUAGCGGGAGGCCUAACACAUGCAAGCCGAGCGGUAGAGAUUCUUCGGAAUCUUGAGAGCGGCGUACGGGUGCGGAACACGUGUGCAACCUACCUUUAUCUGGAGGAUAGCCUUUCGAAAGGAAGAUUAAUACUCCAUAAUAUAUUGAUUGGCAUCAAUUGAUAUUGAAAGCUCCGGCGGAUAGAGAUGGGCACGCGCAAGAUUAGUUAGUUGGUGAGGUAACGGCUCACCAAGACGAUGAUCUUUAGGGGCCUGAGAGGGUGAUCCCCCACACUGGUACUGAGACACGGACCAGACUCCUACGGGAGGCAGCAGUGAGGAAUAUUGGUCAAUGGGUGCAAGCCUGAACCAGCCAUCCCGCGUGAAGGACGACUGCCCUAUGGGUUGUAAACUUCUUUUGUAUAGGGAUAAACCUACCCUCGUGAGGGUAGCUGAAGGUACUAUACGAAUAAGCACCGGCUAACUCCGUG
rnacentral:rRNA from 1 species